rnacentral:rRNA from 1 species
GCAGUCAGGCGUAGGGUGAUAAAAUCCUAUGUCGAGAGGGGAACAACCCAGACUACCAGCUAAGGUCCCAAAGUCAAAUUUAAGUGGAAAACGAUGUGAAAUUACUGUGACAACCAGGAGGUUGGCUUAGAAGCAGCCACCCUUUAAAGAAAGCGUAACAGCUCACUGGUCUAGUGAUUUUGCGCGGAAAAUAUAACGGGGCUAAAAUUUGCACCGAAGCUGUAGAUUCAGUAUUUAUACUGUCUGGUAGGAGAGCGUUCUAUUUAGCAUUGAAGCCAUACCGGUGAGGAGUGGUGGAGCAAAUAGAAGUGAGCAUGCAGGCAUGAGUAGCGAUAAAAAAAGUGAGAAUCUUUUUCGCCGAAAACCCAAGGUUUCCUACGCGAUGCUCGUCAUCGUAGGGUUAGUCGGGUCCUAAGACAAGUCCGAAAGGGGUAGUCGAUGGCAAAUUGGUUAAUAUUCCAAUACCAACAUUGUAUUGUUUGAGUGAUGGGGGGACGCAUAGAGUUAAUUGAGGUCACUGAUGGAAUAGUGGCUCGAAGGAUGUAGGUUGAUAAGUAGGAAAAUCCGCUUGUCGUGUAACCGAGAUCUUACAGGCUGAACAAUAUCUUCGGAUAGCGUUUAGAAUCAAUGAUACUGUCGUGCCGAGAAAAGCCUCUAAACGAGAUAUAAUGUUGCCCGUACCGUAAACCGACACAGGUGGGUGAGAUGAGUAUUCUAAGGCGCGUGGAAGAACCCUGGUUAAGGAACUCUGCAAACUAGCACCGUAACUUCGGAAUAAGGUGUGCCUACUUUUGUAUAUGGAUUUACUCCAGAAAGCGAAAGAGGUUGCAACAAAGAGUCCCUCCCGACUGUUUAUCAAAAACACAGCACUUUGCUAACUCGUAAGAGGAUGUAUAAGGUGUGACGCCUGCCCGGUGCUUGAAGGUUAAUUGAUGGGGUUAGCGAUUCGUCGCGAAGCUCUUGAUCGAAGCCCAAGUAAACGGCGGCCGUAACUAUAACGGUCCUAAGGUAGCGAAAUUCCUUGUCGGUUAAAUACCGACCUGCAUGAAUGGCGUAACGAGAUGGGAGCUGUCUCAACCAGGGAUCCAGUGAAAUUGUAGUGGAGGUGAAAAUUCCUCCUACCCGCGGCAAGACGGAAAGACCCCGUGCACCUUUACUAUAGCUUGACACUGCAAUUGGGAUAUAUUUGUGCAGGAUAGGUGGGAGGCUUUGAUGCUGUGGCGCUAGCUGCAGCGGAGCCAUCCUUGAGAUACCACCCUUAUAUAUUCUGAUUGCUAACUUGCGCCAGUUAUCCUGGCGGAGGACAAUGUCUGGUGGGUAGUUUGACUGGGGCGGUCGCCUCCUAAAAAGUAACGGAGGCUUACAAAGGUUGGCUCAUGUCGGUUGGAAAUCGACAGCAGAGUAUAAUGGUACAAGCCAGCUUAACUGCGAGACGUACAUGUCGAGCAGAGACGAAAGUCGGUCAUAGUGAUCCGGUGGUUCUGUGUGGAAGGGCCAUCGCUCAAAGGAUAAAAGGUACGCCGGGGAUAACAGGCUGAUCUCCCCCAAGAGCUCACAUCGACGGGGAGGUUUGGC